rnacentral:rRNA from 1 species
AGCAGCCGCGGUAAUUCCAGCUCCAAUAGCGUAUAUUAAAGUUGUUGCGGUUAAAAAGCUCGUAGUUGAAUUUCGGGGUUAGUAGGCUGGUCGUGCCACAGGUAUGCACUGGUCUUACUGAUUCCUCCUUCCUGAUGAACCGUAAUGCCAUUAAUUUGGUGUUGCGGGGAGUCUGGACUGUUACUUUGAAAAAAUUAGAGUGUUUAAAGCAGGCUAACGCUUGAAUACAUUAGCAUGGAAUAACGAAAUAGGACGUUCGAUCCUAUUUUGUUGGUUUCUAGGAUUGACGUAAUGAUUAAUAGGGAUAGUUGGGGGCAUUAGUAUUCAAUUGUCAGAGGUGAAAUUCUUGGAUUUAUUGAAGACUAACUACUGCGAAAGCAUUUGCCAAGGAUGUUUUCAUUAAUCAAGAACGAAAGUUAGGGGAUCGAAGACGAUCAGAUACCGUCGUAGUCUUAACCAUAAACUAUGCCGACUAGGGAUCGGAUGAUGUUAAUUUUUUAAUGACUCAUUCGGCGCCUUACG